rnacentral:rRNA from 1 species
UACGUAGGGUGCGAGCGUUAAUCGGAAUUACUGGGCGUAAAGGGCGCGUAGGCGGCCUGCUAAGUCGAACGUGAAAUCCCCGAGCUCAACUCGGGAACUGCGUCCGAUACUGGCAGGCUUGAAUCCGGGAGAGGGAUGCGGAAUUCCAGGUGUAGCGGUGAAAUGCGUAGAUAUCUGGAGGAACACCGGUGGCGAAGGCGGCAACCUGGACCGGCAUUGACGCUGAGGCGCGAAAGCCAGGGGAGCAAACGGG